UACGUAGGUGGCAAGCGUUAUCCGGAUUUAUUGGGUUUAAAGGGUGCGUAGGCGGGAUGCCAAGUCAGCGGUAAAAAUGCGGUGCUCAACGCCGUCGAGCCGUUGAAACUGGCGUUCUUGAGUGGGCGAGAAGUAUGCGGAAUGCGUGGUGUAGCGGUGAAAUGCAUAGAUAUCACGCAGAACUCCGAUUGCGAAGGCAGCAUACCGGCGCCCUACUGACGCUGAGGCACGAAAGCGUGGGUAGCAAACAGG
rnacentral:rRNA from 1 species